rfam:Triticum aestivum genome assembly, contig: Triticum_aestivum_CS42_TGACv1_scaffold_211375_3AS
UUAAUACUCCUUUCGUCCGGAAAUACUUGUCAUCAAAAUGGAUGAAAAUAGAUGUAUCUAGAACUAAAAUACAUCUAGAUACAUUCAUUUCAAUGACAAGUAUUUCCGAACGGAGGGAGUAAUUA